rnacentral:rRNA from 1 species
CCCAAUGUGAACGUUACCAAACUGUUGCCUCGGCGGGAUCUCUGCCCCGGGUGCGUCGCAGCCCCGGACCAAGGCGCCCGCCGGAGGACCAACCAAAACUCUUAUUGUAUACCCCCUCGCGGGUUUUUUUAUAAUCUGAGCCUUCUCGGCGCCUCUCGUAGGCGUUUCGAAAAUGAAUCAAAACUUUCAACAACGGAUCUCUUGGUUCUGGCAUCGAUGAAGAACGCAGCGAAAUGCGAUAAGUAAUGUGAAUUGCAGAAUUCAGUGAAUCAUCGAAUCUUUGAACGCACAUUGCGCCCGCCAGUAUUCUGGCGGGCAUGCCUGUCCGAGCGUCAUUUCAACCCUCGAACCCCUCCGGGGGGUCGGCGUUGGGGAUCGGCCCUGCCUUGGCGGUGGCCGUCUCCGAAAUACAGUGGCGGUCUCGCCGCAGCCUCUCCUGCGCAGUAGUUUGCACACUCGCAUCGGGAGCGCGGCGCGUCCACAGCCGUUAAACACCCAACUUCUGAAAUGUUGACCUCGGAUCAGGUAGGAAUACCCGCUGAACUUAAGCAUAUCA